GGCUUCGUAAUGGGAGCCCUGGAGAAUGUCUGGCCCUUCACCUUUGCCUGGAAUCCGAGUAGCUGUAGCUGGGACAGGCAGCAGGAGAAGGACUCUUUCUAGGGCCUCUCGGAGGCUACCGACUUCUGGGUUCUUCUCUCUUCCUCUUCAUCUGGGCGUGCACUGAUCCCUUCGCUUGGCUCGGAUCUUCCUCGCGAGCUUCCCCAUCCUUUCCAUCGGUAUUUGGACGCAGCCCCGGAGGAGACAGGUUAAAAACUUACACAUACACUUAACCAUCCAUCUCAGCAAUUCCGCUCUCAGAUACCAACCCACGAAAAAAUCGCACGCCUGCAAAGUCUUACACUUGGAUGUUCGUAUCUGCAUUAUUCCCAAUCGGCAAAAACUGGGAACGACCCAAAUCACCAUCCACAGGUCACCGGAUAUACCGCAGCCCUUCCAUAUAAUGGAAUGCCAUCCAUCAAAAAAAGGAACUCGCCAUCAAUCUAUGCGACAAUGUGAACGGAUCUCAAAAACACAAUGCUGAGCAAAACAAGCUAGACAUAAAGGAGUUCACACUGGAUGAUGCCACUAACUGAAACUCUAGAAAUGACCAAGCGCGCCCACAGUGACAGCAAAUCGGCGGUCGCCCGGGGCCUGACUGUAUAGAUGGAGGGUGUUCUCCUUAUGGGUGCCUGUGUUCCUUUCUCUCUUCUUAUAAGGACACCAGUCGUUGGAUCAAGUCCCACCCCAACCCAGUAUGACCUCGCCUUAACUCGAUCACAUCUGCAAAGACCCUACUUCCAAAGAUCACAUUCACAGGUAUCUGGGUUAGUUAGCACUUGAACAUAUCUUUUCUAGGGACAUACAAUUCAACUUAGCGCAGAGACCUUACGUUCCUCUAACAACAAAUAACAGCAGGUCACAAGGAAGCUCCGAAGGGCCGGCUGGCUGGGGAAGAGAGUGGCACUGGGACCCCGGAUGAGGAACAAUGGAGAAGCUGGGGUCACACCUUGAAUAUGCCACUGACUUGCUGUUCAAUGGCUCUCCAUCCCUUCCCUCUCUCUGGAACUUGAUUUCACCAUUUUGUAGCAAUUUUCUUUAAGUGUAUUUCUUUAUUUUGAGAGAGAAAGCAUGCCCGUGCACAUGCGAGUGGGGGAAGGGCAGAGAGAGAGAGAGAGAGAGAGGAAGAGAGAGAAUCCCAAGCAGGCUCCACACUGACAGCACGGAGCUGGACGCAGAGCUCAGUCUCACAAAUCAUUAGAUCAGAACCUGGGCAGAAAUCUGGAGUCAGAUGCUUGGCCACUGAGCCAGCCAGGUGCCCCCGAUUUCACCGUUGUUUCUUUUUUUUUUUUUUUUUUUUUUUUAAUGUUUUUAUUU